CAUGCAAGUCGAGCGGAUCUUCAUUAGCUUGCUUUUGAAGAUCAGCGGCGGACGGGUGAGUAACACGUGGGCAACCUGCCUGUAAGACUGGGAUAACUUCGGGAACCGGAGCUAAUACCGGAUAAUCCUUUCCCUCACAUGAGGGAAAGCUGAAAGACGGUUUCGGCUGUCACUUACAGAUGGGCCCGCGGCGCAUUAGCUAGUUGGUGAGGUAACGGCUCACCAAGGCAACGAUGCGUAGCCGACCUGAGAGGGUGAUCGGCCACACUGGGACUGAGACACGGCCCAGACUCCUACGGGAGGCAGCAGUAGGGAAUCUUCCGCAAUGGACGAAAGUCUGACGGAGCAACGCCGCGUGAGCGAUGAAGGCCUUCGGGUCGUAAAGCUCUGUUGUCAGGGAAGAACAAGUACCGGAGUAACUGCCGGUACCUUGACGGUACCUGACCAGAAAGCCACGGCUAACUACGUGCCAGCAGCCGCGGUAAUACGUAGGUGGCAAGCGUUGUCCGGAAUUAUUGGGCGUAAAGCGCGCGCAGGCGGUUCCUUAAGUCUGAUGUGAAAGCCCCCGGCUCAACCGGGGAGGGUCAUUGGAAACUGGGGAACUUGUAGUGCAGAAGAGGAGAGCGGAAUUCCACGUGUAGCGGUGAAAUGCGUAGAAAUGUGGAGGAACACCAGUGGCGAAGGCGGCUCUCUGGUCUGUAACUGACGCUGAGGCGCGAAAGCGUGGGGAGCG
rnacentral:rRNA from 1 species